AACUUUGUAGAAGAGAUUUAGUGCUGGAUUUUUUUUUUUCAUGUUCCUUCAAAAAGUGUGAUGUUAGAACACCAUAUUCAUGUCUUGUGGGCCUGAACACUUGAUGAUAUAAAAUACCUGACCCAAAUAUUUUUAUCAAGGAGUGAGCUUGAUAUUAAAAAAAAAAAUCCAUGGGAAAAAGCAGGUAAAUUGUUAUAAGGUUGAAUGGGAACACAAUGCUGAGGCAAAAUGAAAGGAGUGAUGGUGGGGAGUAAAAAAAGCUUCUCUUAUUCCAGGUGUGGAGUAAAGAGGGAGGAGAUUUACUGUGGAGAAAUAAAGACAUCUAAAGAAGUGGUGAGAAAGAGAUACUACUAUGGGCACACUAUAUAGUGCACAAACCAAAGCGUGAAAGGAAAGCUGACCUCAAAUCUGGGCUGCGGAUUAUUCCCCUCUAAGUCACAAAAUGAAGUAAUGGUUUUAAUUUUGUUUUGUUUUCUUUGCUUAAAUAAGCAGGAGGAUCAGCAGUGGAACAUUAAAUGUCAUGUGGAAGUGGUGCUGUCGAGCCUUUGGCUGAAGUUUCAUGAUCAGAAGUGAUACGUCAGAGACCCUGCACGAGACCACUCCACUCAUUAAAGACAAGGUGCUGGAGAGGAACCACAUCUGGCCCAGAGUCGAUAAACUAGAGACAUCCUGUGCCAGCAGCUUGCCCCUGUGACCUGCCAGAACUCCACUGAACUGAAGACUUUUUUCCUGUGGAUUAUCCAGCAGCUUCCUGCAACACAGUGGGAGGAAGGAACACAACCAAGUUUUCUUAGAAAGGACUCAGCUUUUCCAGGACUCCCUGCCUGGAGCUACUGGGAUACAGAUCAAGCCACUGACAGCUCUAAGUGGUCGUUAACAAACUCUCACCUGAUUUACUGAAGUUAUUCUCCAUGAAAUAGUUUGGAAAACCUGCUCACAAAAAUAAGUUGAGGUUCAAGUUUUCUUUUAAAGCACAGAAA